rnacentral:misc_RNA from 1 species
UCUCUCUCUCUCUCUCUCUCUUUCACUUUCUUUCUCUAUCUGUAUUUAUAUCCAUCGAUUUAUCUGUGCGGCUUUGUUAGGUUUUUUAAUCGAAGCUAUGGAUCAUCAAAAUGCAGUGAAAGAAGCCCUAAACGCACUGUAUCAUCAUCCGCAAGAUGAGGUUCGUUCGAAAGCAGAUGAAUAUCUACAAGACAUUCAACGCUCCAUCGAUGCCUGGCAGGUUGCUGAUAAUUUGCUUCAUGAUCCCACUAGCAAUCUGGAAACCUUAAUCUUUUGUUCUCAAACCCUUAGAAGCAAGGUACAAAGAGAUUUUGAAGAACUGCCUUCUGAAGCCUUUAGACCAUUACGAAGUUCCUUAAAUACUUUGCUGAAAAAAUUUCAUAGGGGCCCCCCUAAAGUCAGGACUCAGAUUAGCAUUGCAGUUGCUGCAUUGGCUGUGCAAGUUCCUGCAGAGGUUUGGGGUGAUGGUGGCAUAGUGAAUUGGCUUAGGGAUGAGAUGAAUUCUCAUCCAGAAUAUAUACCAGGAUUCUUGGAGCUACUUACAGUUUUGCCUGAGGAAGUAUUCAACUAUAAGAUAGCUGCUCGUCCAGAAAGGCGCCGCCAAUUUGAAAAGGAGUUGACUUCUCAAAUGGAGUUGGCUCUUAAUAUUUUGACAGCUUGCUUGAAAAUUAAUGAACUUAAGGAGCAGGUUCUUGAGGCAUUUGCUUCUUGGCUCCGACUAAGGCAUGGGAUCCCUGGAUCUGUGCUUGCUUCUCACCCAUUAGUUCUUACAGCUCUCUCAAGCUUGAAUUCUGAGCUACUUUCAGAGGCAGCUGUAAAUGUUGUUUCAGAAUUGAUACACUACACAACAUCAGGAAACUCUGGUGGUAUUCCUGUUCAGAUGCCUUUAAUUCAAGUACUUGUGCCUCAAGUUAUGAGUCUUAAGGAGCAACUUCGGGAUCCAUCAAUGGAUGAAGAAGAUGUGAAAGCCAUUGCUCGAUUAUUUGCUGACAUGGGUGACUCAUAUGUUGAGCUGAUCGCAACUGGUGUAUAUUUUUACCAUCUAUUGACACCUAUUAUUUAGAGCACCCCUCGACUCCCUCUUCUUAUGUGCCUUUAAAGUGACUCUAGUACUCAAAUAAUAAUCCCAGUUUUCUACUCUGAUUUGUCUCAUUGUCAGUUGAAUGUUAUUAUUACUUUUCCCCCUUCCAGGAUCUGAUGAAUCAAUGAUGAUAGUAAAUGCAUUAUUGGAAGUUGCUUCGCAUCCAGAAUAUGACAUUGCUUCCAUGACAUUUAAUUUUUGGCACAGUCUUCAAGUUAUCUUGAUUAAGAGGGAUUCAUAUAUUUCAUUUGGUGAUGAAGUGUCCAUUGAAGCUGAGAGGAGGAGGAGGCUGCUAGUUUUUCGGUCAGCCUAUGAGUCACUUGUGUCCCUGGUUAGCUUUCGAGUUCAGUAUCCCCAAGAUUAUCAAAAUCUUUCAAUUGAAGACCUCAAGGAUUUUAAACAGACUAGAUAUGCUGUUGCGGACGUGUUAAUUGAUGCAGCAUCAGUUUUAGGUGGUGAUGCAACUUUGAAAAUUCUUUAUGUGAAACUUGCUGAGGCUCAAGCUUGCUGGGGAAAUGGACAUAGUGAGUGGCGUCUAGCAGAAGCUGCUUUAUUUUGCAUCAAGGCUAUAUCAAAUUAUGUUUCAGUUGUUGAAGCUGAAGUAAUGCCUAAGGUUAUGUCUUUGCUGCUAGAGCUUCCACAUCAGCCCCAACUGCUUCAGACAGUUUGCUUAACAAUUGGAGCAUAUUCAAAGUGGCUUGAUGCUGCAUCGGAUGGAUUGCCUUUAUUAUCUUCAGUCAUGAAAAUUCUCAUGGAUGGCAUGGGGACCUCGGAAGAUUCUGCAGCUGCUGCAGCUGUGGCAUUCAGACACAUCUGCAAUGAUUGCCGGAGAAAGCUUUGUGGAUAUUUUGAUGAUCUCUUCCCCAUAUACCAUAGGGCAGUAAUCGGGGAAGGUAGUUUUAGAAUUUCUGCUGAUGAUUCUUUGCAUGUGGUUGAAGCCUUAAGCAUGGUCAUUACAGAACUUCCUCCAGACCAGGCCAAGCAGGCUUUGGAGAAACUAUGCUUGCCUGUUGUUACUUCUCUACAGGGAGUUAUCAAUCAAGGUCCAGAAAUAUUGGAGAAGAGGCCUGCUCGUGAGUUAACCGUUCAUAUUGAUCGACUUGCUUACAUCUUUAGAUAUGUAAAUCACCCAGAAGCUGUGGCAGAUGCAAUUCAAAGGCUAUGGCCGCUCUUUAAAGCAAUCUUUGACCUUCGUGCUUGGGACAUGCGGACAAUGGAGUCUCUUUGUCGAGCUUGUAAAUAUGCUGUGAGAACUUCUGGGAGGUUCAUGGGAAUCACCAUUGGAGCAAUGCUAGAAGAGAUCCAAGCCCUGUAUCAACAGCACCAUCAGCCUUGCUUCCUUUAUCUCUCUAGUGAAGUUAUAAAGAUAUUUGGUUCUGAUCUGUCUUGUGCAUAUUACUUGAAAAUUUUGAUUGAAGCUCUUUUCAAGCGUACAAUAUGUCUUCUCACAAAUAUCAAGGACUUCACUGCCAGACCAGACAUAGCAGAUGAUUGUUUUUUAUUGGCAUCAAGAUGCAUUCGUUAUUGUCCUCAACUAUUUAUUCCAUCUACUGUAUUUCCGAUGUUAGUAGAUUGCUCUAUGAUUGGUAUCACUGUACAGCACAGGGAGGCUUCCAAGUCCAUACUGACCUUCUUGUCUGACAUCUUUGAUAUUGCAAAGUCUAGUGGGGGGGAACAGUACUUAUCCAUCAGAGAUAGUGUUAUUAUUCCCCGAGGUGCCAGCAUUACCAGAAUUUUGGUUGCAUCAUUAACAGGAGCGCUCCCUAGUUCUCGAUUGGAAACGGUCAUGUAUGCUUUACUGGCACUAACUCGUGCCUAUGGAGCGAAUGCAGUGGAGUGGGCCAAGGAGAGUGUUUCACUAAUUCCACUGACAGCUGUCACAGAAGUGGAGCGUGCUAGAUUUUUUCAAGCAUUGUCAGAUGCAGCAUCUGGGAAUGAUAUCAAUUCACUGAUGGUUCCUGUUGAAGAGCUUUCUGAUGUUUGUCGGCGAAACCGGACGGUGCAAGAGAUUGUACAAGGAGCAUUGAGGCCGCAUGAAUUGAAUUUGGUUACUGUAUCAUAGUGGAGAGCAAUACAAACGUGGAUUCUUGCUUAGGGUUCAUCUGUUAGUCACGAGUCGUGCGAGUUACUUGAAGGUAUACUUGCUGUUACAUUCAUUUUUCAUGGUGUAUUAUUUAAAUCAUUCUCCAAUUUUUUAGGAGAAUCUUUUCUAUUGGUUGGGAGAGAACGAAGGGUGAUUGUUGUAUCUUUAUCGAUGAGUUGUUGGAUGUCUCGAGUGGUUUGAACCGCACUGGCUUCAAUUUUUGGGGUGAAGUUUCAUUAUAAAGAU